rnacentral:rRNA from 1 species
AUGGCAUAAGCCAGCUUGACUGCGAGCGUGACGGCGCGAGCAGGUGCGAAAGCAGGUCAUAGUGAUCCGGUGGUUCUGAAUGGAAGGGCCAUCGCUCAACGGAUAAAAGGUACUCCGGGGAUAACAGGCUGAUACCGCCCAAGAGUUCAUAUCGACGGCGGUGUUUGGCACCUCGAUGUCGGCUCAUCACAUCCUGGGGCUGAAGUAGGUCCCAAGGGUAUGGCUGUUCGCCAUUUAAAGUGGUACGCGAGCUGGGUUUAGAACGUCGUGAGACAGUUCGGUCCCUAUCUGCCGUGGGCGCUGGAGAACUGAGGGGGGCUGCUCCUAGUACGAGAGGACCGGAGUGGACGCAUCACUGGUGUUCGGGUUGUCAUGCCAAUGGCACUGCCCGGUAGCUAAAUGCGGAAGAGAUAAGUGCUGAAAGCAUCUAAGCACGAAACUUGCCCCGAGAUGAGUUCUCCCUGACUCCUUGAGAGUCCUGAAGGAACGUUGAAGACGACGACGUUGAUAGGCCGGGUGUGUAAGCGCAGCGAUGCGUUGAGCUAACCGGUACUAAUGAACCGUGAGGCUUAACCUUACAACGCCGAAGUGUUUUGGCGGAUGAGAGAAAGAUUUUCAGCCUGAUACAGAUUAAAUCAGAACGCAGAAGCGGUCUGAUAAAACAGAAUUUGCCUGGCGGCCUUAGCGCGG